rnacentral:rRNA from 1 species
GAGUUUGAUCAUGGCUCAGAUUGAACGCUGGCGGCAUGCCUUACACAUGCAAGUCGAGCGGCAGCGCGGGGGCAACCCUGGCGGCGAGCGGCGAACGGGUGAGUAAUGCAUCGGAACGUGUCCUCUUGUGGGGGAUAACCAGUCGAAAGACUGGCUAAUACCGCAUGAGAUCGAGAGAUGAAAGCAGGGGACCGCAAGGCCUUGCGCGAGAGGAGCGGCCGAUGCCGGAUUAGCUAGUUGGUGGGGUAACGGCCUACCAAGGCGACGAUCCGUAGCUGGUCUGAGAGGACGACCAGCCACACUGGGACUGAGACACGGCCCAGACUCCUACGGGAGGCAGCAGUGGGGAAUUUUGGACAAUGGGGGCAACCCUGAUCCAGCCAUGCCGCGUGUGUGAAGAAGGCCUCGGUUGUAAG